GGCUGGGAGGCCAGGGGUGCUGGCGGGGAGGCCACGCAGAUGGUGUGCAAGACCACUCUCCCACACACACCCAGGGACUCACACACAGACACGGUUACCCAGAC